CCUACGGGAGGCAGCAGUGGGGAAUAUUGGACAAUGGGGGGAACCCUGAUCCAGCCAUGCCGCGUGUGUGAAGAAGGCCCUCGGGUUGUAAAGCACUUUCAGUGAGGAAGAACGCCUGGUGGUUAAUACCCAUCAGGAAAGACAUCACUCACAGAAGAAGCACCGGCUAACUCCGUGCCAGCAGCCGCGGUAAUACGGAGGGUGCGAGCGUUAAUCGGAAUUACUGGGCGUAAAGCGCGCGUAGGUGGCUUGAUAAGCCGGUUGUGAAAGCCCCGGGCUCAACCUGGGAACGGCAUCCGGAACUGUCAAGCUAGAGUGCAGGAGAGGAAGGUAGAAUUCCCGGUGUAGCAGUGAAAUGCGUAGAGAUCGGGAGGAAUACCAGUGGCGAAGGCGGCCUUCUGGACUGACACUGACACUGAGGUGCGAAAGCGUGGGUAGCAAACAGGAUUAGAUACCCCCGUAGUC
rnacentral:rRNA from 1 species